GGUAGGAUAUUGGCGACUCUUAAUAUACACUCAUUGUUUUUGCCACGAGCUCCAUGCGUAGUUUGUUUGCACUUGGACCAUCGCAGUUUCUCGGUAGUUUUCAGACCAGAAUAUUACUGGAAUACUAUCGCCUUCACUACUCUAAUUCUUUCCGUAGGUUGAUGAUCAAAAUUGUAGAUUUACUAAGAAUAAUGGAUGGCCUCUUUGAUGCAGAGUGGUGGAAGCCAGCAGUUGGUCAUUGAGGGCCCUUUGUCAGAAGAAUAUUACAAAUUACGGGAUCUUUUGUAUUCUCAGUUCUACAUGCUAUAAUAGCUUCCAUUUUAUUGUGAAAGCUCUACAGCCUGCGUAAACCUGGAAGAGGAGGGGUGAAGGAGACGUCAGAAUUGGCACCCGCACUUUAGAACCUUCACUGUCCUCUUACAGAGAAGAAAAGAGCCUUUUGUUACCAUGUAUGCAUUACAUUUAGUUGAAGUAGUAGUGUUGUACCAGACUCUCUUUCCUUCCACAUGCAAAAUCUCAAGAAAGAUUAUAUUUGCAGGAUACUUCGUACAAGGUGUUCUUUUUAAAGAGAGACAGCUCACAUAGCUGCUGAAUAUUCUGUCGUUGUCGAAAGGAAGAAACGAUGAGAUUCUCCGGAAGACUUUCUUAACUGCAACUGCAUAAUAGAUCGAAGAUCAUCUCACAAACUUUUCUGGGCUGGUGUGUAACGUUGACCGAGUAUAAGUUGUCAU
rnacentral:lncRNA from 1 species